UACAGAGGGGGCUAGCGUUAUUCGGAAUUAUUGGGCGUAAAGGGCGCGUAGGCGGCCACGCGUGUCUUUCGUGAAAUCCCUCGGCUUAACUGAGGACGUGCGGAAGAAACUGCGAGGCUUGAGUCCGGGAGAGGGGGGUGGAAUUCCCAGUGUAGCGGUGAAAUGCGUAGAUAUUGGGAGGAACACCGGUGGCGAAGGCGGCCCCCUGGACCGGUACUGACGCUGAGGUGCGAAAGCGUGGGGAGCAAACAGG
rnacentral:rRNA from 1 species